ACCGGGAAGAGGAAGAAUGAGAGGGUCCAAGAGUAAUAUGAAUGGGAACAUCGAGGAAAGCAUGAGCUUUCUAGAUUUCCUCUCCUUACAAUGGAGAGAUCUUGCUCUGUGUUUUUCCGAUGCCUCCCAUUCCUAUUGUUCUUGGGUGCUCCUUCCCCUUCCUUUUGGCU
rnacentral:pre_miRNA from 1 species